rnacentral:rRNA from 1 species
UGCGUAGGCGGAUUAAUAAGCCAGUGGUGAAAACCUGCAGCUUAACUGUAGACUUGCCAUUGAUACUGUUAGUCUUGAGUACGGUCAAGGUAGGCGGAAUGUGUAAUGUAGCGGUGAAAUGCUUAGAUAUUACACAGAACACCGAUUGCGAAGGCAGCUUACUGGGCCAUUACUGACGCUGAGGCACGAAAGCGUGGGGAGCGAACAGGAUUAGAUACCCUGGUAGUCC